rnacentral:rRNA from 1 species
GCCCGCUCAGAAACUCAAAGGAAUUGACGGGGCCCGCACAAGCGGUGGAGUAUGUGGUUAAUUCGAUGCAACGCGAAGAACCUUACCUGGUCUUGACAUCCCGGAGACCCUUAGGAAACUAGGGGGUGCUUCCAUCUGGAAGAAUCUGGAGACAGGUGCUGCAUGGCUGUCGUCAGCUCGUGUCGUGAGAUGUUGGGUUAAGUCCCGCAACGAGCGCAACCCUUGCCUUUAGUUGCCAGCAGUUCGGCUGGGCACUCUAAAGGGACUGCCGGUGUUAAACCGGAGGAAGGUGGGGAUGACGUCAAGUCCUCAUGGCCUUUAUGACCAGGGCUACACACGUACUACAAUGGCCGAUACAAAGGGCAGCGACACUGCGAGGUGAAGCCAAUCCCGUAAAAUCGGUCUCAGUCCGGAUUGGAGUCUGCAACUCGACUCCAUGAAGUUGGAAUCGCUAGUAAUCGUGGAUCAGCAUGCCACGGUGAAUACGUUCCCGGGCCUU